ensembl:snoRNA U8 U8 small nucleolar RNA
UAGUAUGGUAGGUGGAUAAUUUAUUUAUUCCUCUUUUCAGGGGGCAAGACAGAACAUGAUUAAAGUGUGCAUCAGUUGUGAUUAGCAUCUUUUACAGUCACUACAUGCAAUACCCUGCUUGCUCUUGUCUGAU